AUCGUUUAAUAGUCAUUUAAUAGUCGUGAACAACUAUUAAUAUCUGUCUGAAAACAUAUUGAAAAAUACAUUUACAAUAAAAAUUUCUAAGCUCGCUACAAAGAUUUUUGGGCUUUGUCUAGCAAAAAUUGAAGUAUUGGCUGCAAAUAAGACUGUUGAACCUCCAGUAAAAAAGCUACAAACAAGUGAUACUCAGUUUUGUGUGCAAACAUUUUUAAUUGAUGAGUUUAGCAAUUGGAUUUCUCGUUAUGAUGCAAAUAGCAUCUUUUAUUUAGCUGGCAGC